rnacentral:miRNA from 1 species
UGUCCAGUAGCACCUUAGAGACCAACUAAGUUUGUUCUUGGUAUAAGCUUUCAUGUUCAUGCACACUUCUUCAGAUACACAUGAAAGCUUAUACCAAGAACAAACUUAGUUGGUCUCUAAGGUGCUACUGGACA